GAAAAGGCUGCACUUGGACUUGGCCAUCAACACCGUCCCUAGAAGAGACACUGUGGCUGUGCUCUUGACCAGGAGGUAUUUAAAGUCAACUCUCGUGAAGAACUUGGGUACCUUGUGUAAAACUCUUCAUUGUGUCCAUCACCUGGAAGACUUGGUCACCAUCAUGAGCAGAGAAUGGGCCAUAGCACUGAAGCACAGUGCUUGGAUGCUGGAGUUGGUAACCAAGAUGACAUGUGAAAGGGGAGAAAGAAUGGGCUCACUCAGGACAGCACGGGUCUCUGGUUCAGAUCUUUUCCCGCGAACAAAUACACGCCUUUCCCC